UACAUAGGGGGCAAGCGUUGUCCGGAAUUAUUGGGCGUAAAGAGCGUGUAGGCGGCCAGAUAAGUCCGCUGUGAAAUCUCGAGGCUCAACUUCGAGCUGUCGGUGGAAACUAUCUGGCUAGAGUCCGGAAGAGGAGAAUGGAAUUCCUGGUGUAGCGGUGAAAUGCGCAGAUAUCAGGAAGAACACCCGUGGCGAAGGCAGUUCUCUGGGACGGUACUGACGCUGAGACGCGAAAGCGUGGGGAGCGAACAGG
rnacentral:rRNA from 1 species